UACUAAUCUCUGUUUGUGAGGACAUUUUUUGUUUUAGUUGACGAUCGGAGUAUGACGUCAGAAGCGAUGUUUUUUUUGGUUGAAUUUUUGGUCUGCCGAGUGGGGGCGUAACAAUUUAGCUGCAAAUGAUUCUCAAUUUUGGGAAAAGUCAUCCUUCUGAUUGCGAUCAAUAUUUAGUAUUUCCAGACAAGCCCAAUGUUGUGAGUAUAAUUUGAACAUAUGAUGUUGAUAAUUGAUAACUAGCCGUCAGUUUGAGUUGGGUGUUGGUUUAUACAGUUCAUAGUUUUCAGAUAAUUUGAUGUAUAAAAUUUGUUAUGAAAGUGAUUUGUACGCACAGUAACUUUGUAUGAUGCAUUACACGUGCAGUUACAUAAUACGGUUCAUGUGUGUAGUGCUAUGGGGAUAGUCUGUUGUACAGACCGUGUUGUGUUAUUUUAAUAUCAUUUAUAUAUAGGCAGUUGUAUAAAGUGACAGAAUGUAGAUAAAUUCUGGUAACUGUAGACAUGUAUAUAAAGAGGAAUUCAGUGUAAUAUGUAACUUCAGUAGACAUGCAUUAAUCAUACAACUAAUUUGAUGCAAGAUUGUUUGUAAACAGUUUAAAAUUGACAUAUUAUUUAUGAUUGUUUAAUUCUGAUUAAAUUUCAGGUUGAACCGCCUUUUGUGAACGGUAUCGCAUCAUGCUUGAAAUUGUCACUAUUUAUUGAAGUGCAGUCAGUCCGAUUGGUUGGUUAUACGCUACAUCAAGUUCAACAACAGUGCUUUAAGUCAACAUGAGCGAUAUGUCCCAUCUAGAGUCCGUCAAGCCCAGGGAUUCAGCAAGCCAGACUGGCAAGAGCAGUACGAGCAGUACCUCCAGAGCUAGAGUCAAAGCAAUGGUGAAGAGAGCGGCCUUGGCAGCCCAGGCAGCAGCUCUCAAUGAACAACAAGCUCUUGAACUGGAGGAGUUUAAGCUGAAGCAGAGAAGGUGUAAGCUUGAGCUACAGACAAGACUCAGCAUGGCAAAAGCUGAGGAAGAGGUUUUCUCCCAGCAUGGAGAGAGCAUGACUGCUGCUGUAGAUAAAGAUGUCUCCCAACGAAGAGGGGCCUUGACGACGGAGCCCAGCAUGGCUACAGAUUUAGAGAAGGCUGUCUACCAGCUGAGACAGCCCUCACAGGUGCAACCUAACAGGGUCAGCACUACAGACAAGGACUUCUCCCAGCGUGGAGAGAGCAUGACUGCUGCUGUAGAUAAAGAUGUCUCCCAACGAAGAGGGGCCUUGACGACGGAGCCCAGCAUGGCUACAGAUUUAGAGAAGGCUGUCUACCAGCUGAGACAGCCCUCACAGGUGCAACCUAACAGGGUCAGCACUACAGACAAGGACUUCUCCCAGCAUGGAGAGAGCAUGACUGCUGCUGCAGAUGAAGAUGUCUCUCAACGAAGAGGGGCCUUGACGACAGAGCCCAGCAUGGCUACAGAUUCAGAGAAGGGUGUCUACCAGCUGAGACAGCCCUCAGAGUUGCAACCCAACAUGGUCAGCACUACAGACAAGGACUUCUCCCAGUGUGGAGAGAGCAUGACUGCUGCUGCAGAUGAAGAUGUCUCUCAACGAAGAGGGGCCUUGACGAUGGAGCCCAGCAUGGCUAUAGAUUUAGAGAAGGGUGUCUACCAGCUGAGACAGCCCUCAGAGUUGCAACCCAACAUGGUCAGCACUACUGUAACAGACAAGGACUUCUCCCAGCAUGGAGAGCCCUUGAAGUAUGAUACCACCACUAAUCAGAGUGAAACCACAGAACAGAAUGGCUCCAUAUUAACUGGGUCAGAAGCAAGUUACGGAAUCGCCAUAGGGGCCGGUAUGCGAUGUGUACUUCCCAUAGGUCCAGUGCAUGUUCAGGCAGCAGAUGGAGAUAGAUGUGUUCGGACCUACGCUCUACUGGACUCUGGUUCGACCACUUUCUUCUGCACAGAGGGCCUAGUAAGGAAAGUGUCAGCACAGGGGGAAGAGCGCAUACUUUCCAUAUCAACUUUGGACGAUCCUGAUGGAAGGAUCCAGACUCAAGUUGUGAGUCGUAUGGUAGACACAGGUCUCAUGACAGAAAGAGUGAAGCUUCAGAAGGUUUCUACCAACAGGAAGACCGACUUACUGAGUGAUGACAUGGCCAGUAUGCCAGACUUAGAAGGAUGGCAGCACUUAGAGGGGCUGGAUCUACCAUUUGCCUGCGGACAAGAAGUGGGACUCCUGAUAGGGCAAGAUGCGCCAUUUGCCCUGAUGCCCUUAGAGAGUGUACAUACUGUACUUGGAUGGUCCUUGCAUGGCCCUGCUGCUGCUAUUCCAGACAAAGGAAUGUCGGUGAAUGACAGAAAGACUCUUGAAAUACAGAAUGAAGGGAAGUGCAUAGAGAUGGAACAGUACCAGUUUCACAUACCCUUCAAGGAGAAACGACCUACAUGUAGCUUGACAGACAAACCAUGGGUAGCAGAACAAAGGUUGCAGAGUCUUAGAAGGAAGCUAGGUAGAGAUGAUGCUCUGCACAACAAGUACACAGAAGGUUAUGCCGAGGAGGUGGAAGAGCAAGAUUGUCAACCAGGUGACGUAACAUGUCGAUACCUCCCUCAUCCAGGUUUACGAUUUGGUACUGUCAGUCGACGAGCACACACCCCGCAAUGUUUGGCCUUUGGGAAGAGUCCUUCAGACAUGGCCAGACGAGAAAGGCUUCGAUCGACAGUGUGAAGUGAAGACCUGAACCAGCGUACUGCGGGAGACCAGUUACUAAGCUCUGUUUAAUUUUGGAGGCAGAUUCUUAGAAACAUUUUUGUGUUUCUAAGAUGAGGGGUCAAGCCUAGCGCUGUCCCGUGCCAAUUGUAGAGGUAUUUGUGUUUUGUGUUCUUAAAACCAGAAAGCGGAACUGACAUCGAUCUUAUCGCGUAUUAGAGUAACAUUGAUCAGUCAAGAAAUUGAGGAAUUUUUGUGCAUCAGCAUCAUGGACUAAGUGUCAACAUUUGAGCAACUUUCAGAGAAUUUUUAGAGACUUUUACAAGAAAUUUGAGGAAGGUUCAGCGUUUCAGAAGAAGUUCUAAGCAAGAAAAUAUGUUGCAAGACAAAGUUGAUAUUUAGUCAUAAGAGGAAAUACAUAUUAUUCUGAUCCUCUAAUAACUCAGAGAAGGUCAAAGAACAAGAUUUUUGAAGAAAAUGGAUUAUACCAUAAUGCAAGACUGACAUGGUGUAAUUUAUGUUAGCAUGAUAUUGGAAAGUAACGUUUUUGUUUUUCAACCUUCUAAACAAACUUUAUAUUUAUUAGAAAUGGUAAAUGUGCUUUUCCUUUAUAUUCAUAUGAUGAAUGCAUUUGUAUGUAUUCUAUAUUAGGUUUAUUUCCAGAGGAGAAAGCUUAAAGUAGCAGAAUGAAUACAUUCAAAUCAGUUAUACAUGUUGAUGAUAUGUCGUUUAUUACUGUUUCCAUGACAACCAAAUUACAUGGCGUUGGCUAUUUGGUAGAAUAUGUAAUACCAGAAUCGAUAAUGUCAUAUAUGCAGAUUGUGUAUAGAAAGAUUGAAAUGGUAUAUGCAGAUGAUGUAUUUGUCUAUGUAGGGACUUGGAAGUUUCGACUAGGAAAAUUUAUAUUUUCUAGCAGAUAAUGUCUUGUGAAGUUAUAUUUGGGUACAACAACAUGACUCUAUGUGUACUGGAAUUGGUAUGUGAAUUCAAUUCAGUUUUAAACAGUAUCUGUGAAAUCGUACAUAGUGUUGAUUACAGAAUCAAUAUUUCCUUUUAUUGGGUGACACAUAAUAAGAUUUCUUUUUUAGUUUGUAUGGGAUUGAAAGAAGUGGUUGUAGUGGUAACAGUUGCCAACAGAGAUUUUUUAGAGUGAAAUUUUGGUUUUCAUAUUUUAAUGUGAGAAUUUAUAAAGUUAAUUUAUUGAAGCAUGUUAUACAUUGAUACAGGUAGUAUGGCAACCAACUUUGUUGAAAGUUUAUUUGAAAAGGAAAUUGUAGUCCUUUUUGGUGUUGUAACAAGGAAAUCUAGACAUGAACAAUUUUUUUCUUUUUCGUUUGCAAAGAAAGUUGUUUGGUUGCUUAGGUGUUCAUGAAAAUUAAUGUAAAUUAGUUUAUUUGUUAAUUGGUGUAUGAAGGCAUUCAGUAUAGAUAGCUAUGUUUUAAAUUUUGGGAUUCCUUUGGAAUUUUGGAUAAAUAUAUACCUGUAAGUCCAGGUUGAGAAUAAGAAGAGAUUAGAGAAGUAAAUGUUCAGUAAAAUCUUCACAUUUAGGGGCCGGAAUGUAAGAUACUAAUCUCUGUUUGUGAGGACAUUUUUUGUUUUAGUUGACGAUCGGAGUAUGACGUCAGAAGCGAUGUUUUUUUUGGUUGAAUUUUUGGUCUGCCGAGUGGGGGCGUAACAAUUUAGCUGCAAAUGAUUCUCAAUUUUGGGAAAAGUCAUCCUUCUGAUUGCGAUCAAUAUUUAGUAUUUCCAGACAAGCCCAAUGUUGUUGAACCGCCUUUUGUGAACGGUAUCGCAUCAUGCUUGAAAUUGUCACUAUUUAUUGAAGUGCAGUCAGUCCGAUUGGUUGGUUAUACGCUACA